AGUGAACGCUGGCGGUAGGCCUAACACAUGCAAGUCGAACGGCAGCACAGUAAGAGCUUGCUCUUACGGGUGGCGAGUGGCGGACGGGUGAGGAAUACAUCGGAAUCUACUUUUUCGUGGGGGAUAACGUAGGGAAACUUACGCUAAUACCGCAUACGACCUACGGGUGAAAGCCGGGGAUCUUCGGACCUUGCGCGAUUGAAUGAGCCGAUGUCGGUUUAGCUAGUUGGCGGGGGAAAGGCCCACCAAGGCGACGAUCCGUAGCUGGUCUGAGAGGAUGAUCAGCCACACUGGAACUGAGACACGGUCCAGACUCCUACGGGAGGCAGCAGUGGGGAAUAUUGGACAAUGGGCGCAAGCCUGAUCCAGCCAUACCGCGUGGGUGAAGAAGGCCUUCGGGUUGUAAAGCCCUUUUGUUGGGAAAGAAAAGCAGCAGGUUAAUACCCCGCUGUUCUGACGGUACCCAAAGAAUAAGCACCGGCUAACUUCGUG
rnacentral:rRNA from 1 species